rnacentral:rRNA from 1 species
GACGAACGCUGGCGGCGUGCUUAACACAUGCAAGUCGAACGGAAGGGCCCUGCUUUUGUGGGGUGCUCGAGUGGCGAACGGGUGAGUAACACGUGAGUAACCUGCCCUUGACUUUGGGAUAACUUCAGGAAACUGGGGCUAAUACCGGAUAGGAGCUCCUGCUGCAUGGUGGGGGUUGGAAAGUUUCGGCGGUUGGGGAUGGACUCGCGGCUUAUCAGCUUGUUGGUGGGGUAGUGGCUUACCAAGGCUUUGACGGGUAGCCGGCCUGAGAGGGUGACCGGCCACAUUGGGACUGAGAUCGGGCCCAGACUCCUACGGGAGGCAGCAGUGGGGAAUAUUGCAAAAUGGGCGGAAGCCUGAUGCAGCAACGCCGCGUGCGGGAUGACGGCCUUCGGGUUGUAAACCGCUUUCGCCUGUGACGAAGCGUGAGUGACGGUAAUGGGUAAAGAAGCACCGGCUAACUACGUG